rnacentral:misc_RNA from 1 species
GAUGAAGAACGUAGCGAAAUGCGAUAAGUAAUGUGAAUUGCAGAAUUCAGUGAAUCAUUGAAUCUUUGAACGCACAUUGCGCCCGCUAGUAUUCUGGCGGGCAUGCCUGUCCGAGCGUCAUUUCAACCCUCAAGCCCCCGGGCUUGGUGUUGGGGAUCGGCGAGCCUCCGCGCCCGCCGUCCCCUAAAUCUAGUGGCGGUCUCGCUGUAGCUUCCUCUGCGUAGUAGCACACCUCGCACUGGGAAACAGCGCGGCCACGCCGUUAAACCCCCAACUUCUGAACGUUUGACCUCGGAUCAGGUAGGAAUACCCGCUGAACUUAAGCAUAUCAAUAAGCGGAGGA